CCUACGGGAGGCAGCAGUGAGGAAUAUUGGUCAAUGGCCGCAAGGCUGAACCAGCCAAGCCGCGUGAAGGAUGAAGGUACCAAGGAUUGUAAACUUCUUUUGUCAAGGAACAAAGUCAGGCACGUGUGCCUGUUUGAGUGUACUUGAAGAAUAAGCAUCGGCUAACUCCGUGCCAGCAGCCGCGGUAAUACGGAGGAUGCGAGCGUUAUCCGGAUUUAUUGGGUUUAAAGGGUGCGUAGGCGGACUGUUAAGUCAGCGGUAAAAGCCCGGGGCUCAACCCCGGCGAGCCGUUGAAACUGGCUGUCUUGAGAUGUCGAGAGGGAUGCGGAAUGCGCAGGGUAGCGGUGAAAUGCUGAGAUAUUGCGCAGAACUCCGAGUGCGAAGGCAGCAUACCGGCGGCGAGCUGACGCUGAGGCACGAAAGCGUGGGUAUCGAACAGGAUUAGAUACCCGGGUAGUC
rnacentral:rRNA from 1 species